rnacentral:rRNA from 1 species
GACGAACGCUGGCGGCGUGCCUAACACAUGCAAGUCGAACGGAAAUACGAUUUCGGUUGUAUUUUAGUGGCGAACGGGUGAGUAACGCGUGAGCAACCUGACCUUCAGAGGGGGAUAACAUUUGGAAACAGAUGCUAAUACCGCAUAAGACCACGACCCGACAUCGGGAUGCGGUCAAAGGAGCAAUCCGCUGAGGGAGGGGCUCGCGUCCCAUUAGAUAGAUGGCGGGGUAACGGCCCACCAUGUCGACGAUGGGUAGCCGAGCUGAGAGGCUGAUCGGCCACACUGGAACUGAGACACGGUCCAGACUCCUACGGGAGGCAGCAGUGGGGAAUAUUGGGCAAUGGGCGCAAGCCUGACCCAGCAACGCCGCGUGAGGGAAGAAGGCUUUCGGGUUGUAAACCUCUAUCCUUGGUGACGAAACAAAUGACGGUAGCCAAGAAGGAAGCCCCGGCUAACUACGUGCCAGCCGCCGCAGUAA